rnacentral:siRNA from 1 species
AAGCGGCUGAUCUGAUAACAGUGG